AUACGACGGGGGCGAGCGUUGUCCGGAAUGAUUGGGCGUAAAGGGCGCGUAGGCGGCUUUGCAAGUCAGUAGUGGAAGUCUAUUUUUCAAGGAUGGAAGUGCUACAGAAACUGCGGAGCUUGAGUGCAGGAGAGGUUAUCGGAAUUCCCGGUGUAGCGGUGAAAUGCGUAGAGAUCGGGAGGAACACCAGUGGCGAAGGCGUGUAACUGGACUGCAACUGACGCUGAGGCGCGAAAGUGUGGGGAGCAAACAGGAUUAGAUACCCUGGCAGUCCACACUGUAAACGAUGAAUGCUAGGUGUAGGAGGUAUCGACCCCUUCUGUGCCGCAGUAAACACAGUAAGCAUUCCGCCUGGGGAGUACGGUCGCAAGAUUAAAACUCAAAUGAAUUGACGGGG
rnacentral:rRNA from 1 species